rnacentral:rRNA from 1 species
CUUGGUCAUUUAGAGGAAGUAAAAGUCGUAACAAGGUUUCCGUAGGUGAACCUGCGGAAGGAUCAUUACCGAGUUAGGGUUGCCCACACCGUGGCGCGCCCGACCUCCCAACCCUGUGUCUAUCAUUACCUUGUCGUUGCUUCGGCGGACCGGUCGACCGACUGGUCGAAACCGCCGGGGUGGCCCAGCCGCCCUGGAGAGCGUCCGCCGACGGCCCCAACAAACCAAAAUUCUUGAUACCAAAACACCUGUCGUCUGAAUCUUUACCCUCGUGAGAAAUCACGGGGGAACAAAAUAAACCAAAACUUUCAACAACGGAUCUCUUGGUUCUGGCAUCGAUGAAGAACGCAGCGAAAUGCGAUAAGUAAUGCGAAUUGCAGAAUUUCCGUGAGUCAUCGAAUCUUUGAACGCACAUUGCGCCCACUGGUAUUCCGGUGGGCAUGCCUGUUCGAGCGUCAUUAUCCCCCCUCAAACCCCCGUGUUUGGCGUUGGGCCGGGUCGUGCGUCCUUCUCGCACGACMGGCCCCAAAGACAAUGACGGUGUCCGUGGGACCCUCGGUGCAACGAGUCUUUUUCUAGGCACGCGCCGAGUUGCAAGGUCCCGUCGGGCCGGUCACCUUUCCUUUCUCGAGCAAUCGGGAAUCGAACCUUUUUAACAGGUUGACCUCGGAUCAGGUAGGAAUACCCGCUGAACUUAAGCAUAUCAAUAAGCGGAGGA